rnacentral:lncRNA from 1 species
UGUCUAUUUAAAGGGACCUCCCCUAAGGUCCCAAAAACAUCCAAACCAGCAACCCCACAUGCCAAAAGAGAAGUUCCACACCCUCUCUUCCUCUUCUUUUCUCUUCCCUUGGGCGUCCCACACCCCCUUUCUCUUGGAACGUACGUCCCAAGGAGUCCCACAUCCAAAGGCUAUUGGGUGCCUCUUCUUUGCUAGUUUCUAGUAUCUGGUAGCAGCACAU